GAUGAACGCUGGCGGCGUGCCUAAUACAUGCAAGUCGAGCGAAUGGAUUAAGAGCUUGCUCUUAUGAAGUUAGCGGCGGACGGGUGAGUAACACGUGGGUAACCUGCCCAUAAGACUGGGAUAACUCCGGGAAACCGGGGCUAAUACCGGACAACAUUUUGAACCGAAUGGUUCGAAAUUGAAAGGCGGCUUCGGCUGUCACUUAUGGAUGGACCCGCGUCGCAUUAGCUAGUUGGUGAGGUAACGGCUAACCAAGGCAACGAUGCGUAGCCGACCUGAGAGGGUGAUCGGCCACACUGGGACUGAGACACGGCCCAGACUCCUACGGGAGGCAGCAGUAGGGAAUCUUCCGCAAUGGACGAAAGUCUGACGGAGCAACGCCGCGUGAGUGAUGAAGGCUUUCGGGUCGUAAAACUCUGUUGUUAGGGAAGAACAAGUGCUAGUUGAAUAAGCUGGCACCUUGACGGUACCUAACCAGAAAGCCACGGCUAACUACGUGCCAGCCGCCGCGGUAA
rnacentral:rRNA from 1 species